AGAUGUUAAAAGCCAGAGACAUGGGAGAGCAUCAUUCUUUUGAGAUUUUAUAACUUAAACCAACUUUUGAGUUGUCUGAUUUGGAGAGUCAUCAUUCUUGGUCUUCCCUCUUAAAGGCCACUGAUGAAGAGCAGGCAGUGACUGGAUGAAUGCUGGUCAGAGAAGAUAUUGUGCUUUCCCCUCAGUGGUUUUAAAGGAGGACGCUGCCCUGGAUGAUGUAGAUGUCGUCACAUGCUGUGCUGAUGGGGCUUCUUCAUGACUACAUCAAAUAUGCUGAAGAGAUCAUGAAAAUUGACUGUGAUGCUUGAUCUGUAUUCAUGGACUAUGAAACUGUAAGUGUAUAAUUUGUAAAAACAA